UACGUAGGGUGCAAGCGUUGCCCGGAUUUAUUGGGCGUAAAGGGCGCGUAGGCGGCUCGGCACGUCCGUUGUGAAAUCGCCCGGCUCAACUGGGCGGGGUCAGCGGAUACGGCCGAGCUUGAGCAAGCUAGGGGGCAAUGGAAUUCCCGAUGUAGUGGUGGAAUGCGUAGAUAUCGGGAGGAACACCAGUGGCGAAGGCGGGUCUCUGGGCCGAUACUGACGCUGAGGAGCGAAAGCGUGGGGAGCGAACAGG
rnacentral:rRNA from 1 species